GGAAGGAUCAUUAACACGUGUUCCACGUAUCAACCUUUGUGCAUUUGUUCUGUUCCAAGAGGGCGCUCUCUUAUCUUUCUGUUAUCGGUUUCUCUUGGUUGCGAAACGGUGAACCCCGAGAGGGUGAUUUCCUCAAAUGGUUCGCCAUUUCUGUAUAGAGAGUAACUGCAUUUGAAAGAGAGGUCUGUUGUCCUUUCAAGGGGUUCUUCCACCUGCCAAAACUGCUGCACUAUCCGUCCUUCAAUGGAGGGGUGUGGUCCGUUGCGGUGUAGGGGUGCCUUGAUGAAUUAUUUCAUUAUAAAUUUUCACACUUUUUACUAACUUGUACUAAACUAUUUGCUUUGGUUGGAACAGGUCUUUAUUGGCCGAUCCAAUCAAAUCAAUACUCUAUAUAACUAUAGAACAACUCUUAGCAACGGAUAUCUUGGUUCUCGCAACGAUGAAGAACGCAGCGAAAUGCGAUACGUAAUGCGAAUUGCAGAAUUCAGUGAAUCAUCAAAUUUUUGAACGCAACUUGCGCUGUUGGGUAGCCCCGACAGCAUGUUUCUCUGAGUAUCGAUUCUAACCCAACUCGCCCACGUGGCGGAUAAUGAAGGUCUCGUUGUGUCUCUUUUGACUAAUGCGAGUCCUUUUAAAUACAGUUGAGUUCUUUCAACAUAUGAUCAGACUACCUUAUGAAAGGUUCGCCCUUCAUCUAGCUGAUGUUGAUAAUUCAGUCCCACUUUUGUGGGUUCUGUCUUUGACAUCGGGUCUAGGAAGAUGCGGAUUGUAGUCGCGAUCGAAAGAACCCGAAACAAAGGAAUCAAAAACAAACAUUCAAUUAAUUUUGAGUGUUCUAUUUUGAAUUUGAUCUCAGAUGAAGCAAGAUAACCCGCCGAAUUUAAGCAUAUUAUUAAGCGGAGGAAAAGAAACUAACAAGGAUUCCCCUAGUAACGGCGAGUGAAGCGGGAAGAGCUCAACUUGAAAAUCGGUGUGCCUAGCGGUCCAUCGAAUUGUAGUCUAGAGACAUUUCGGCAGUAGUGACCCGGGUAUAAAUCUUUUGAAACAAGGUAUCAUAGAGGGUGAGAAUCCCGUCUUUGACCCGGAGUUCGCUGCGUACGCUGGGUGUUCACAGAGUCGCUUAGCUUGGGAGUGCUGAGCAAAAUGGGUGGUAAAUUUCAUCUAAAGCUAAAUAUUGGCGAGAGACCGAUAGCGAACAAGUACCGUGAGGGAAAGAUGAAAAGAACUUUGAAAAGAGAGUUAAAAAGUACUUGAAAUUGUUAAGAGGGAAGCACUGGAAACCAGUUAUGCUUGUGCAGAUAUUCUCCAUUUGUUAGUUUGCCCGGUGUGUUCCGUGUACGUUAAAGGCCGGAAUGUAUCGGGUGGGCUGGCAAGUGGCUUUGUCUGUAUGGGCGAGUCAGGAUCAAGUAGUGAUGUGGGAGAAAUCAUUCGGAAGGUGGCUUCGUGUAGCAAUAUUCGAGGAGCUUAUAGCCGGGUGAAGGAUACCAUGGCAUUGCUUGAGGAACCGAUAAUCCGCACGUAAGCUGCUUGUGCUGGUCCCUGCCGUAUCAUCAGGUUUGGAGAACAAAGUUCUGCGGCUUGAGAAGUGGGGUACUGGGCUGGACACGAGACAGGCGGAUUCGCGAUCUUGACCAAAUGGUUUUCAAUGACCCGUCUUGAAACACGGACCAAGGAGUCUAACAUAUAUGCGAGUAUUUGGGUGGAAAAACCCUGGUGCGCAAUGAAAGUAAAGGCAGCCUCUGGCUGCUGAGGUAGGAACCGUUGGGUAACCGGCGGGGCACUAUCGACCGAUCGUUCAUUCAUGAAAGAUUUGAGUAAGAGCAUAUCUGUUGGGACCCGAAAGAUGGUGAACUAUGCCUGAUCAGGAUGAAGCCAGGGGAAACUCUGGUGGAAGUCCGUAGCGAUACUGACGUGCAAAUCGUUCGUCUGAAUUGGGUAUAGGGGCGAAAGACUAAUCGAACCAUCUAGUAGCUGGUUCCCUC
rnacentral:misc_RNA from 1 species